CGCGGCCGCGAGCGGGGCCAGGGGGGCGGCGGAGGAGGCGGCCGGCGGCGCCCGUCGCGCCGGUACCAGGGGUCGUGCGGGGAGUCCGGGGAGGCGAGGCCGGGCUGGCUGCCGUCUGUCUCCAUUCGGACCUCUUCUCCCUGCGAGGAGCGGCGCCGCACUCCCGGGGCAGAUGAGCGCUGGAAAAGGGGCCGGACGGACAGGCCAUGCUGCCCCCUCCCCCGACCCCUCUCCGCCGGGCGGGGAGGGAGCGAGGGAGGAGGGCCCGGCGGGCACAACCUGCCCGGCUCCUCCCACCCCCGCCGGCCCGCCGGCCGCCGUGCGCAUAAAACCCGCCGGUGGCGCCGGGCCGCGCUGGGACCGAACGCCGGGAGCCGCGCCCGGACCGCGCCGGAGGAGAACGGAGGCGGCGGGAACGGAACGGAACGGCGGCAGCGGCCCGGGGCCCCGCGGGCGCUUUGUCCUCGGCCGCGCCGCUCCGCACCUGCGCUGGCGGACAAAAGGCCGCGGGCUCUGCCCCACCGCGGCGGCCUGAGCCCCAACCCGCGGACGGAGCGGGGCGGCCCCGCCGCUCAGCAGCUCCUCGCUCGUACAAAUCAACAGAGCUGUGCCAAGCUCCGGCGUCUCGCUGCCCUCCCGCAAGUUCAGCCGUGUGCUGCGGGCCCCGCGCUCUGCUCAGCGCUCGGGCAAGCUGGCAUGGAGGAGCCCGGUGAGGAACAAGUGAAAUGUUGGGUGUCAGAUGAGAACUGGAGCCUCUCUGCCCUGCCUGCACAGCGCGUCGCCCUGAGAAAGGGCACUUGUUAGCAUUGGUGACACAUCAGAACGCAGCAGCACACAAAGCCUCUCUCAGGACAGGGGCACUGCAGGCUGACAGGCUGUUCCUGCUCUGUGCCACAGCGCUGCCAAACGUUCCCCUGCCCAUCUCCACACCUCAUCAGAGCCUUCCCCACAGAGCGAGGUGCCAAACGGCUGCAGGUCAGCACCAGCCUCACCUGACCAUUCUUUAAUGACUGGUUUUCCCCGUGCCAAUACUCCUCACCUCCCUCCUGGAGAUGAACCAGGACACCUCUGUUUUAAUAGCACCCCAUAACGGUAUUUUUCAUUACCUAGGCUCAUCCCAAAGGCUGUGGCUGCAACCGGGAGCUGAAUUCAUCCACCCGCUAGCUCUGCCAAGCCACCAUUCACCCCUUCCAUUUCCUGAGCUGAAGUCAGAGGCACUAUCUCAUCUCCUGGCCCCACACCUGGCACAGAGAGAGCUCACAACCAGACGCUCAGUGGCCACCCCGGGGACCGAGCUGUACCUCAGCCACGGUUGCAGCAUCGCAGUCACCUCCCCUUGCACACCCUGGGAGUUCUGGGCUGUCAGAAACCCACUGCUCUCCUGCCACGCUGCCCAAACUCACUGCUGCUGCGCUGCCUCCUGGCACCUGCUCCGAGUUGGAUGGCAAAUACUCCAAGUGGGGAACUAAUGUUUUGCAUGUCACCUGGCACGGGCUUCCAUGCUCCAUUGACUGCCCAACUUAGGCAGAAGAGCAAUGCUAAUUAAACUCCAGAAAGGAGAAAAGAAACAAGAGAUCAGUGCUGGGCACACAAAAGGACAACAUCCUUUGGUUUACUCCCAGCAGACUGUUAUAAUUUUAAGUGUAUUAUACACAACAGAUAAUGCAGAGCACUCAGAGGCAGCAUUAAAACACUUCACUAUAUAUAUAUAUUCUGCAUUAGGCUUAUUAUUUUUUUUCUCUUCUUUUCCACCAAGAUAAUAAUGGAGAAGAGAGAAGAGGAUCAAAGCGAGCCACCAUCUGUGAACAUAAGAGGAAAAAGAGCAAUCUUCAGGAGGGGCUGGAUGGAGGAUGUGGUUGGAGCUGCAUCCCUGGCAGUGACAGCACACUGUACCACGUAACUUAUUCCAAGGCCCUUUCCAAAACACAGUCAUAUGUUGCGUUUCCACCUCUGGACCCCAAAGCCCUUUGGAAGUAUCAAUGCAUUUAUCUCUAUAACACACAAGCCUGAAAAAAUCUGUUGAUUAGUGACAGUAGGAAGCUUUCCUCACAGAGAAGUAAAUAUAUAAAACAUUCCAGACCUUAUGAUUGGAAAGAUGAUCUCCAAAUAUAAAAUAAUGCAGCAUUGUACUCCUGGGGCUGCAGACAGACAGCUGUAGUGCCUCUGUGGCUGCUGCUGAGAGGUUGCCAAACACCAGCGAGAUUAACAAAACUGCUCAGUUUUCUUGCUGCUAUUCAGCAUCUCGUGUGUGGUAGAGUGACACUAUCAAAAUCAUGUCCACUUCCUGCUGGGGUCGAUGAUUGGCAAAGUGCUGCCCAGCACCAGAGGCAGACACUGGAGUUAUUCAUGGGGAGAGGGAGGUUCCCAGAAGUGGAGGUUAGGGGAGGGGCAGGGCGGCAGGGCCUCCUUUGCUCUGCCAUCAUACGAGAGUGACAGAGAGACCAAGUCCUGGAGGCUUGGCUGUCCUGGAGGCUCAGCUGUGUCCCGGAGCCGGGAGGUUCUGGCCAGCGGGUACUCAGAGUUGUUUUGUUUUUCGUUCCAUUCGGACAGUUAAUAAACAAACUUGAACUGGAAUCCAAAUCACUCUUCUCCUAUUCAUGUUCCGACGCUGAACAAGCAAACCUGGAAGAUAUUAAGUGCAGCUCCAGGCAGCCCGGGGGCAAUGCCAGGCUCUGGAAGCAGCUUCUGGUCACGCUCCUGUGUGCUGGGGAAGUGAUGCUGACCCCCUGCAAGGCCAAGGGUAGAACUGCCCCACGCACUGCCACUGCGGCCACCUCUAAGGGAAUGGUUCGGCCGCUGUCUGCCUCGAGGGCACUGGGCUGGGGAGGCAGCAGGCACAGCCAGGGAGAACAGCUACUGAAAUUGAAGUGCUGAGGCUUUGCUCUGGUUGUGGGCAGGACAACAC
rnacentral:lncRNA from 1 species